rnacentral:tRNA from 1 species
UCCCUGGUGGUUCAGUGGUUAAGACUCAGCACUUUCACUGCCGUGGACCCGGGUUCAACCCUUAGUCGGGGAA